CUCUAUGAUGACCCAUUGUUCUGUCCCAAGGAUAUGACCAUACUGAUGCCAACUCUAAUUUAUAAAUGAAGAUAACUCAUUGGUCUCAUUUGCUAAUACUAAAGCAAACCAUUUUUUAUGAAUUAUGGAGGGGUUAAAAAUGACUAAUCAUGAGAAGCCUUGUUAGGAAGGUCUAUUUGGAGGCUUCUGAUACUUAGACUCCAAGAUAUACUAUGUUCUACUAUGGACAUAAAUAUUUCUCUAUGUAUUUUAUAUAAAUAACUAUUUUAGUAAAUAGUUUCUCUCUCUUCCCUCUCCUAGAAUUGCAUCUCAGUCUGAACAAGCUCAGCGCUGGUGUCUUUCUCUGCAUUCUGCACCAGAUUCAAUAAAUAUUUAUCGAAUUAAUUAAAUUGAAUUAGGACUUCUUCCAGACAUUAGACGGAGAGAUGUGAUUCAGAUAGAUAAAAUGACUCAAAAAAAAAAAAAAAAAAA